rnacentral:rRNA from 1 species
UACGAAGGGGGCUAGCGUUGCUCGGAAUCACUGGGCGUAAAGGGUGCGUAGGCGGGUCUUUAAGUCAGGGGUGAAAUCCUGGAGCUCAACUCCAGAACUGCCUUUGAUACUGAGGAUCUUGAGUUCGGGAGAGGUGAGUGGAACUGCGAGUGUAGAGGUGAAAUUCGUAGAUAUUCGCAAGAACACCAGUGGCGAAGGCGGCGACCUGGUCCGAUACUGACGCUGAGGCGCGAAAGCGUGGGGAGCAAACAGG